rnacentral:lncRNA from 1 species
GUUAGGGUCAGUAAAAUAACGGCGUACCUUCUCUGAGGGGAAGUGCAUAUGGACUUCUCCGGUUCCAAUGUAGAUAAUUGCUUUAACGGUGCUGAGGAAUGGUCUUCCAAGGAUGAUGGGUGGAUCAUACUCGUCUUCUCCCAUGUCAAUAACUUGAAAGUCUGUGUAGACAAAGUGAUCGUCUAUUUUGACUGGGACAUCAGAUACUAUUCCUUUGACUUCUCGAAAUGUCUGAUCUGCCAUCUGGAGUUGAAUGUAUGUUGGUCUUAGGGGCAUGGUCCCGAACAAGAGCCGAUAGGUGACUGCGGCCAUUAUGUUGACGCCC